rnacentral:rRNA from 1 species
UUGGACUUUGGAUCAUGGUUCCAGGACGAACCGUUGGCCGGCGCGCUUAACACAUGCAAGUCGAGCGAAUGAAGUUUCUUCGGGGAACGGAUUUAGCGGCGGACGGGUGAGUAACACGGGGGCAACCUGCCUCAUCGAGGGGAAUAGCCUUCCGAAAGGGAGAUUAAUACCGCAUAAGAUUGUAGUUCCGCAUGGUACAGCAAUUAAAGGAGCAAUCCGCUAUGAGAUGGGCCCGCGGCGCAUUAGCUAGUUGGUGAGGUAACGGCUCACCAAGGCGACGAUGAUGUAGCCGCCCUGAGAGGGUGAUCGGCCCCAUUGGGAUUGAGACACGUCCCAGACUCUUACGGGAGGCACCAGUGGGGAAUAUUGCACAAUGGGGGAAACCCUGAUGCAGCAACGCCGCGUGAGUGAUGACGGCCUUCGGGUUGUAAAGUUCUGUCUUCAGGGACGAUAAUGACGGUACCUGAGGAGGAAGCCACGGCUAAUUACGUGCCAGCAGCCGCGGUAAUACGUAGGUGCCGAGCGUUUUCCGGAUUUACUGGGCGUAAAGGGAGCGUAGGCGGAUUUUUAAUUGAGAUGUGAAAUACUCGGGCUUAACCUGAGUGCUGCAUUUCAAACUGGAAGUCUAGAGUGCAGGAGAGGAGAAGGGAAUUCCUAGUGUAGCGGUGAAAUGCGUAGAGAUUAGGAAGAACACCAGUGGCGAAGGCGCUUCUCUGGACUGUAACUGACGCUGAGGCUCGAAAGCGUGGGGAGCAACCAGGAUUAGAUACCCUGGUAGUCCACGCCGUAAACGAUGAAUACUAGGUGUAGGGGUUGUCAUGACCUCUGUGCCGCCGCUAACGCAU